rnacentral:rRNA from 1 species
UACGUAGGGUGCGAGCGUUGUCCGGAAUUAUUGGGCGUAAAGGGCUCGUAGGCGGUUUGUCGCGUCGGGAGUGAAAACCCAGGGCUUAACUCUGGGCUUGCUUUCGAUACGGGCAGACUAGAGGCAUGCAGGGGAGAACGGAAUUCCUGGUGUAGCGGUGAAAUGCGCAGAUAUCAGGAGGAACACCGGUGGCGAAGGCGGUUCUCUGGGCGAUGUCCUGACGCUGAGGAGCGAAAGUGUGGGGAGCGAACAGG